rnacentral:rRNA from 1 species
GACGAACGCUGGCGGCGUGCCUAAUACAUGCAAGUCGAACGCAGUGGGGACGGGUGAGUAACACGUGGGUAACCUCCCAUCAGAGGGGAUAACACUUGGAAACAGGUGCUAAACCGAUACUGAUGGAUGGACCCGCGGUGCAUUAGCUAGUUGGUGAGGUAACGGCUCACCAAGGCCACGAUGCAUAGCCAACCUGGAGGGGGAACCGGCACAACUGGGCUUGACAAAGGGCCAGGACCCCACCGGAAGGCGGCAGUGGGAAAUUUCCGGCAUUGGACGAAAGUUUGACCAGGCAACGCGGGGUAGGUAAGAAGGGUUUCCGGUCCGUAAACUCUGUUGUUAGAGAAGCGGUAUCUAACCAGAAAGCCACGGCUAACUACGUGCCAGCCGCCGCGGUAAUUC